rnacentral:lncRNA from 1 species
UCUAGAGCAGCGCCGAAUGACCACCCUGGGGAGCAUCUCGCGCUGCGGACCCGGGGGCACUGGAGCUGAGGUCAGCGAGGCUGGGAGAUUUCUCGGUCCACAGCACAGUGGGGAUCAGGAAAGAGCACUGAUGUCCCCAAGGCCCAGAGAGAAGAGGAAAUGCCUUUUCACCGCAGCCCGGGGCUCAGGUCCUCUCAUUUCCUGUGCUGGGAUUUGCCUUGCCUAGGACAGCUGACUGCAGGGUUAUUUGUCCAGUUCCAGAGGGGGACAGCAGCCCCACCCUCAGGAGUGGCCCGGCCCUCCGGCCCCACAGGAUGGACAUCACAGAGCCGCAGUGUGCCAGCAGCACGCGUGGCCCUUACCCGUGCAUGGAGGAUGUUGAGGUUUGGUCCUCAGCCUCAGUGAAGCUCGUGUCUUCCCAGAGCAUCUACAUUCAGGUUCCUGGUGGCUGCACAGUUCCACUCGGGGAUCACACGUGGGCAUCUGCUGCACUUAACGUGGUUUUCGCAGAAAGGGCAAAUCUGCCUUGGGGCGGAUUCAAGUAUUGACUCCUCCUUAUGGCUAUGUACUGAUUGAAGCCUUGGAGUGUAGCUUAUUCAGAGCUUAAAAAGUCUCCAGGCUCAGGGCUCAGCGAGAGCACCACGUGUUUCUGUGCUCACGUCUGUCCCCCGUUCCCCACACCCGCUAUUUUAAAGCUCUCUAUUCCCCUCAAACCUCCUACCCUACCACCUGCACCCCAUUCUUGGCAGCUGCCCUAAUGUGGGGAGAAAACAGAGCCAGCAGUCCACCCACCUCGGCUUCCCAUCAACAUUAUGUGAGUAGGAGUGGCGGCUCCUGGCCUCUCCUCCUUUUCUCCUGUCAUGCUGGAGAAGGGUCGCUGCCCUGCCAAACUCAGCCCUCCCCACAUCAGAUUGAUGGCAGUGGAAGGCAGCUUCUAAAAAGACUCUGGUUCCUUCUUGCUUGCCCUUUCUUGCUGAUUCACUUGCUCACUUUGCUGGAAGCUGGCUGCCAUGUUGUGAGCUUCCUUGUGGAGAGGCCCACGAAGAAAGGAACUGAGGGAGGCCUUGGGCCAGCAACCAGCAAGGAGCUGACUUCCUCAGUCCAACAGCCUGUGAGGAAAUAAAUCCUCCCAAGAGUCAUGUGAGUAGCUUGGAAGUGAACCCUCCCCCCCCCGUUGAGCCUUCAGAUGACUGCGGCCAACACCUUGACUGCAGCCUCAUGAGAGACCUUGAGCCGGGGGACCCAGCCGAGCCAGUCUGGAUUACGGACUCCCGGAACUGUGAAAUUAUAAAUGUUUAUUGUUUUAAACUGCUAAAUUUUGUAGUAAUUUAUUAUACAGAUAUAGAUAAAGAAUACAUUAGCUCUCAGACCUGUCAAUUUCUCAGCCCUGAAAACUCUGGAAAAACCUGUGGAUCCACAUAAGGUUGCUGCUUUUUACUUUACAAAAUAGGUCUUGAAAAAUGAGAACCAAUUUUUUUUUUAUUAAGACUAUGAUAGUUAAGAACUUUGUGAAAUUUCAGUUGUACAUCAUUAUUAGUCAUGUUGUAGGUACACCGCUUCACCCCUAGUGCCCUCCCCCCGCACCCCUUUCCCCUGGC